rnacentral:rRNA from 1 species
UACAGAGGGUGCAAGCGUUGUUCGGAAUUAUUGGGCGUAAAGCGCGUGUAGGCGGCUUUGCAAGUCGGGUGUGAAAGCCCUCAGCUCAACUGAGGAAGUGCGCCCGAAACUGCAGAGCUUGAGUGCCGGAGAGGGUAGCGGAAUUCCCCAAGUAGAGGUGAAAUUCGUAGAUAUGGGGAGGAACACCGGUGGCGAAGGCGGCUACCUGGACGGCAACUGACGCUGAGACGCGAAAGCGUGGGUAGCAAACAGG